rnacentral:rRNA from 1 species
UACGUAGGCAGCGAGCGUUGUUCGGAAUUACUGGGCGUAAAGAGUGUGUAGGCGGUGCUCUAAGUUCGGUGUGAAAUCUCCCGGCUUAACUGGGAGGGUGCGCCGGAAACUGGAGUGCUCGAGCGUGGGAGAGGAAAGCGGAAUUCCUGGUGUAGCGGUGAAAUGCGUAGAUAUCUGGAGGAACACCCGUGGUGCAGACGGCUUGCUGGACCGUGACUGACGCUGAGGCACGAAAGCGUGGGUAGCAAACAGG